CAAUCAACUUCUCUCAUAAAGCAAUGGUUAAAUAGAGUAGAAACUGGUGUUUCUCAUUCAUUUUAUAAUUAAAUCCCACCUGUUUCUAUCAUUUCUAGUGAGAUUGUUCUGGUCUCACCAGAAAGUCAGGAUACAGGGCAUUUGACACCAUUAAAUAUUCCCUCUCCCUUUUCUUUCCCUGUCCUUCACAAACCAUUUCAAAACCUUCCUAACAUUUCCAUCCUUCUGCAAACCCAAUUUACAACUGAAUUGAAAAGACCCCAUCCAAAAUAAAUCCCACAGUAUCAACACCACUAAUGCAUAUUCGUAACCAGUAAAUUGUGUGUGCUGGUGAACCGUAGGUCAAAAACACACCUGAACAAGGCCUCACUUAUCUGGAAGUCUGUUUAUGGCCUAAUCCAGAUACUUUUAUCCUGCUCUCCCCGAUAACACAGUCUCCGGGGACAUUCCAACGAGAGAUAAUGAAACCCCCUUUUCUGGAAAAGAAAUUGUACAUUUCGUUAGCAUUCACCAUGUUACAUUUUAAUCAGCAAGCCAAAAGUAUUAAUUAUAAACCAAACAUGCUAAUUGUUAAUCCACUGUCUUUACUCUCAUCAUUAAAUGUAUUAAUUAUAAACCACACAUGAUAAUUGUAAAUCCACUGUCUUUACUCUCAUCAUUAAAUGUAUUAAUUAUAAACCAAACAUGAUAAUUGUAAAUCCACUGUCUUUACUCUCAUCAUUAAAUGUAUUAAUUAUAAACCAAACAUGAUAAUUGUAAAUCCAAUGUCUUUACUCUCAUCAUUAAAUGUAUUAAUUAUAAACCAAACAUGAUAAUUGUAAAUCCACUGUCCUUACUCUCAUCAUUAAAUGUAUUAAUUAUAAACCAAACAUGAUAAUUGUAAAUCCACUGUCUUUACUCUCAUCAUUAAAUUUAUUAAUUAUAAACUAAACAUGAUAAUUGUAAAUCCACUGUCUUUACUCUCAUCAUUAAAUGUAUUAAUUAUAAACUAAACAUGAUAAUUGUAAAUCCACUGUCUUUACUCUCAUCAUUAAAUGUAUUAAUUAUAAACUAAACAUGAUAAUUGUAAAUCCACUGUCUUUACUCUCAUCAUUAAAUGUAUUAAUUAUAAACCAAACAUGAUAAUUGUAAAUCCACUGUCUUUACUCUCAUCAUUAAAUGUAUUAAUUAUAAACCAAACAUGAUAAUUG
ensembl:lncRNA